CCUACGGGUGGCAGCAGUGGGGGAUAUUGCACAAUGGGGGAAACCCUGAUGCAGCGACGCCGCGUGGGCGAAGAAGUAUUUCGGUAUGUAAAGCCCUAUCAGCAGGGAAGAAGAAAUGACGGUACCUGAGUAAGAAGCACCGGCUAAAUACGUGCCAGCAGCCGCGGUAAUACGGAUGGUGCAAGCGUUAUCCGGAUUUACUGGGUGUAAAGGGAGCGCAGGGGGCACGGCAAGCCUGAUGUGAAAGCCCGGGGCCUAACCGCGGAACUGCAUUUAGAACUGCCGGGCUGGAGUGCCGGAGAGGUAGGCGGAAUUCCUAGUGUAGCGGUGAAAUGCGUAGAUAUUAGGAGGAACACCAGUGGCGAAGGCAGCCUACUGGACGGUGACUGACGCUGAGGCUCGAAAGCGUGGGGAGCAAACAGGAUUAGAUACCCGUGUAGUC
rnacentral:rRNA from 1 species